UGGGGAAUAUUGGACAAUGGGGGCAACCCUGAUCCAGCCAUGCCGCGUGUGUGAAGAAGGCCUUUUGGUUGUAAAGCACUUUAAGCAGUGAAGAAGACUCCAUGGUUAAUACCCAUGGACGAUGACAUUAGCUGCAGAAUAAGCACCGGCUAACUCUGUGCCAGCAGCCGCGGUAAUACAGAGGGUGCAAGCGUUAAUCGGAAUUACUGGGCGCAAAGCGAGCGUAGGUGGCUUGAUAAGUCAGAUGUGAAAGCCCCGGGCUUAACCUGGGAAUGGCAUCUGAUACUGUUAGGCUAGACUAGGUGAGAGGAAGGUAGAAUUCCAGGUGUAGCGGUGAAAUGCGUAGAGAUCUGGAGGAAUACCGAUGGCGAAGGCAGCCUUCUGGCAUCAUACUGACACUGAGGCUCGAAAGCGUGGGUAGCAAACAG
rnacentral:rRNA from 1 species